CUGAGCGUUCACGGAGGCAAUUCAACAGG
rnacentral:piRNA from 1 species